rnacentral:lncRNA from 1 species
AUGCAACACUUCAUGAACUUGUGUGUCAUUCUUGUGUAGCUGCUGUGCUAAUCUUGGUAUUGUUCCAGUUUUAGUAUAUGUGUUGCAAGGUGAGCAUAGCCAUUCAUUUGUUUGAAUAUUUUUUCUGCUACUUGAUAUUUCUCCACUCCUUCUGGUACUUCUGUUAUGAAUAUAUUGGUGUAGUUAAUGGUGUUCCUCAUUUUUUUGAGCAUUUCUUCAUUUUUCAUCACUCUUAUUUCUCUCUGUUCUUUAGAUUACUUAAUCUCUAUUGAUCCAUCUUUAAGUUUACUGAUUAUUUUGCCAGCUACAACCUUUCUUUUCUUUUCUUUCUUUUUUUUUUUUUUUUGAGAUGGAGUUUCUCUCUUGUUGCCCAGGCUGGAGUGCAAUGGCACUAUCUCAGCUCACUGCAACCUCUGCCUCCCGGGUUCAUGCAAUUCUCUUGCCUCAGCCUCCAGAGUAGCUGGGAUUACAGGUGCGUGUGCUACCACACUCAGCUAAUUUUUCUGUUUUUAGUAGAGACGGGGUUUCACCACAUUGGUCAGUCUGGUCUUGAACUCCUGACCGCAGGUGAUUCACCUGCCUUGGCCUCCCAAAGUGCUGGGAUUUCAGGCAUGAGCCACCCUGCCUGGCCCAAUCUUUUGUUGAGUCAUUCUAGUGAGUUUUCCAUUGCAGUUAUAAUUUUUGAAUCCAGAAUUUUCAUUGUAUUCUUUUCUGUCUUCUUAUUGAUAUUUUCUGUUUGAUGAGGCAUCAUCAUACUCCCUUUUCUAAGUAGUGUUUCCUUAUGAACAUAUUUAUUUUUAUUUUUUAUUUUGACAGUCUCGCUCUGUCACCCAGGCUGGAGUUCAGAGGCAUGAUCUCAGCUCACUGCAACCUCCGCCUCCCAGGUUCAAGUCAUUCUCUUGCUUCAGCCUCCAGAGUAGCUGGGAUUACAAGUGCCUGCCACCAUGCCCAGCUAAUUUUUGUGUUUUUAGUAGAGACGGGGUUUCACCAUGUUGACCAGGUUGAUCUUGAACUCCUGACCUCAGGUGACCCACCUGCCUCGACCUCCCAAAGUACUGGGAUUACAGGCGUGAGCCACCGUGUCUGGCCCGAACAUAUUUAUAAUAGCUGCUUUGAGGUCAGCUAAGUCUGAUAGCUGGGUCUUCUCAAGGGCAGUUGCUGUUGCCUGUCGUUUUUCCUGUAUGUAGGUGACAGUGUCCUGUUUCUUUGUAUGUCUUGUAAUUUUUUUGUUGAAGUAUAGACAUUUUAGAGAAUACUUUGUGCUUCCUCUAGAUACUGGUUCCUCUAUUCUCUCUAGGGCUUGUUGUUAUUUAUUUAGGUGACUUGACUGUACUAUUUGAGAGAAGCUUUUUCACUCCCAUUGGGUUCUCACUGAUGUUGCUUAUCAGAGGGCUCCUCCUUGGAAAUGCACACUAUCUUUGGGAUGGCAGUGGUGUUAACAGUGCUCUCUGAGUGUCUCUUUCUGUGAUUGCUGUGUUAGCCUGUCUGCCUCUGUUGCUGUUAUACUUUGCUGAUAGCCGCUACUGAUUGCUGACGUAUUGCUCUAUUGUUUUCAACACUGUCCUGGACCAUAUGUUGCUCUUAAUUUGCCUAAGAAAUCAUAAAAGCAAGACCUGAAAGUGUCACAUUGUUUCCAAGUGACUUAAGUGCAUCCUAGAAAAAAGCACAAAAAUACUUAUAGGAAGCCAAAAGGACCCAACAUCCAACCAAGUAAAACUCUCAGUCUUCUGUCCAUUGAAAUAUUACCAGACUUACA